rnacentral:misc_RNA from 1 species
UUUACAAGAUAUUCUAAGUUUAUAUGAAAAUAAAGCUUUAAUAUAAGCUAAGAAACAAGAAACUAAACACUAGAAAUGUAGGAAAAGUGUAAGAGAAGAAAGAAAUCUCCAAAUCUGUUUGGAAAUAGUGUGGAAAAUGAUUGUGUCUCUUCAGCUGCUCCUUUUUCUCUUCUUCCUUUCUUUUUCUGCUCCCCCCUAAAAUGGGAAAUGAGGCUAUUUAUAACAUUUUCUGACAUGGAGUCCUAAAAUGGUGUGUUUUAGGAGAGAUUUUCAGGGAGAAUCUUCUGCCAGCUCAUUAAUGCACUUUUUAUGGGACUGCAUAAGUGGAC